GUUUAUAUGUUAACAAAUAUACGUAUAUGAAAAUUGGCCCCUGAGGAUGCUAAGGAGUUUAGCGAAACGUAGGGCAAAGCAGUGAAGAAAAAACGUUGUUUUUACUUGCACUAAUCACCAACUAGGCCAAAGAAGCUCAUCAAAAUUAAUAAAAAAAAAAUUCCAUUUAGCUAUCAUUCAAUCCACAUUCGUCCUGUCCACUUCUACAUAGUCAAUAAGUUCUUAGUUUUUGCAAACAGCAUAAAUUAUGUCGACAUAAAAUUGUUGGCUUCUCUACAUAUUUUACGAGUACAAAAUAACUAAGCA